CAAGAUGAGAUUUCCCAUAGCGUAAGCUAGUAAGAUCCCUGAAAGAUGAUCAGGUUGAUAGGUUCGAGGUGGAAGCAUGGUGACAUGUGGAGCUGACGGAUACUAAUAGAUCGAGGACUUAACCAUAUAA
rnacentral:rRNA from 1 species